CUGAUCUGCCACCAGUCCACCCAGACCUCAAACUACAAUCAGUGUCUAAUACAACCAGGCUACCCUAAUUUUUUUUUUCACAUAAAACUCUUCACAGACUUCUCUUUGCUCUUCAACUAUGGUACAUGUUUGUAAACCUUUGUAAAUUGGCUCUGACCUCCUCUAUAAUCAUAGCUCAGGCACUCUCUUCCACUUUUGUUUGUUUUUGCUUUUGCUUUUCAGGACAGGGUUUCUCUGUGUAGUCCUUGCUGUCCUGUAACUCACUGUGUAGACCAGGCUGGCCUCAAACUCAGAGAUCUUCGUGCCUCUGCCUCUCCAGCGCUGGGAUUAAAGGCGUGUGCCACCAUCACCCAGCUCUCUUCCAUCUUUUAAACCGGGGCUUUGAGCCCUACCUGUCCUGUGACAAGAGGAAAGCACACAGCGUCAUGCAACCUGCUAGCACUCCCUAGGUUUUCUUCAGCCCCUCUUGCCUGAUUGUUUUCUCCUUCCUCAGCUUCCAGUAAAAUGUUUUCUGACUUCCCAUCACAUUGAAUCAUCUUCUGUUUCCCCACUGCACCCUGUUCCUCUUGCACAUGCCUGGUGUCAGCUGACCUGGGUGAACCACACAAUUCCCGGAGGAGGUUUGGAAACAGCUUCACCAUCAUUAUGAGAAGACGCAAAGAGAGGGUUGAAAUACAGAUUCAUGGACGUUAGUGGAGAAAGGAAAGAACAGCCUUGUCUUCCUGCCCUAGAGAUAGGUCAUUAGCAAUUCUACCUUUUAUCUGCUCCUGUGGGAAACCAUGAUCUCAACAGCAUAGGAACACAACAUGAAAAACUCCCCCCACACAAAGGAAAUGAAAGCGGUAUCUCCACCUCAUGUCAUGGAUGCAGAAAUCUGAACUCAUUCACCUCUCUACUUAUCCCAGCUUUGUCAAGAAAGUUCUUAUUUACCUCCCAAUCUCUGUUCUGAGUUCUGCUGUCUUAAGUGUUAGUGUCGUCGCAGAUCCUGAUUCUGUUCAGAUAUGGGAGAUCUACCACAGCCUGAGUACUUCAAGGGAGGAGGAUUCCUACAAGUCUAGCAGACUCUCCCUCCCAUCAAAUAUGGACAACAAGCAUCAUGGUGACGAGGACCAUUGUGACACUCCCGUGACUGAGUAAUCCAUCUCUACUCUUACUGGAAAGUGACACUGUGCCAAAGAAAGAUAUCAGAAGUACCCUCUCAGGUCAAGCUUGAGGUACAAGGAACUGCAGCACUUUGGAUUCACAUUGCCAACAUCUAUACUUCUGGAAAUUAUAUUUACAGGACAACAGCUACAUAAAUUCCAGAUGAUCCAGUCCCAAAAUACAACCCAAUUCUUUAGAGUCAGCAUGUGCAACAUGUCAUUCUUGUUACUGAAGUCACUAUGCUUGGGGGUAGAGCUAAGUUGGUAGAGUGCUUGCCUACCAUGCAUGAGGGCCUGACCAGUACUACAUAAACUGGGAGUGGUGCCUCAUCCCAGCACUCCGAAGGGAAAAGCAGAGGGUAAACAUUCAAAGUCAUCCCUGACCGCAUAGUUUGAGGCCAGGCUGGACUACAUGCGACCCUGUCUGAAGGGAAAUAGUGAUCUGCAUUAUCAUGACUCCCAUAAACUGAGGGAAAGAAAUAGACACACUUAUUUGAUGUUGCUUACACACCGGAAUUUUUGUGCUUAUGAAUGUAUGUAUUCAUCACAAAAGCUCCCUAGUGAAGGGCACUGGAAACCAUUUCCCUCGCUCUUCAUGGUGACAAGUGACAUGGUGACCUACAGAGAGGUUGAUGGUGCUUUCUCUCAGGAAUAACUUAGUAGAGACUUGAGCCUGG
rnacentral:lncRNA from 1 species